CGGGGAGUAGCUCAGCUUGGUAGAGCACUUGGUUUGGGACCAAGGGGUCGCAGGUUCAAAUCCUGUCUUCCCGACCA
rnacentral:tRNA from 14 species